rnacentral:pre_miRNA from 1 species
CAGCUUCUGUAGCACUAAAGUGCUUAUAGUGCAGGUAGUGUGUCGUCAUCUACUGCAUUACGAGCACUUACAGUACUGCCAGCUG